UUUCACCAACGUGUUCUUUUCAAAUAUUCGCAAGUAGUUUUCAUUAGAUUUCGUACUCGAUACUUGACUUCCUUCGCGAUGAAGAAGUGCCGCAACGACGAAUCCGCGUAAUGGCUGCUGAGAAUAACUUCUUCAAGAAUGCUUUGUAGUUCAUCUCGAAAGAAGCGAGGCACAUCUCUUGCGGGUAGGCGCAAAUACCAUCGUGGCACACAUUAAGGAGCUUCGUCGUCGUUGCAAGAAAUUCAACACUUGUUGGCUCGUCAUCAGUAGCAGCCAUUGGAAACCAUUACUGUCGAGACCACAAUUAUAAUUUUCUCGGCUGCAGUAAUUUCGGUAAUGAAAAGUAAAGCGGAAAAUUAUUAGUCGAUGUACGGGAACGGUUGCCCAGUCAUCGCAAAAAGCGCACGCUACAACAGCUCGGCAGCUGAACAACUCUGGAAGCGAUAAUCUGCGCGACAAAGGCUCGUUUACCAUAUCUCUUUUAAAUGAAAAUUGAAUUUUCAUCAGGGAUGCGGCUUUAUACGUGUAUGCUUACAGCGAACAAUUUUCUUUGACAUGGUUUGGAACGUUUUAUUUUUUAUCCGUAUAGACUUUUUUACUUUUUUUUUUUCCCAACGAUACAUAUCGGCGAAUUCUAUUAUCUUUGUUCGAGCGCUUUGUAAAAGUGCAGAACGUUUGCACGGUAAAAAGUGUUCAUUUAUUGGAGGUAAUGGUUUUUGAACCGAGACUAUAGAGAAUAUAGAAUAGUCGUGUUACUGUUGAUUUAAUAUAUAUGAAAUUAAUAAUUGUUCUGGAGAUCGAAUGUAUCUUUUGCUUCUAAAUUAUACUUUCUGAGACCAUUUUCAAUUUCCACUUUUCUGGCUCACCUUCACAUAAAGAGACUCGUUUCGAUAAACUAGCUAAUUAAACAAAAUUGUUCUCUUAAAUUCUACACGGAUCUAUAUUUGUUAAAAUUAUCAUUUUCUUUUCAAUGUUAUUUGAACCAUUUGUAUGUACAGUCAUGGCUGAUGUAUGUACAUAUUUCUUAAACAAUGAACUGUGUUAUUCCAAGCUAUGAGAAAUAAAUGACUUCAUAAAUUUUACAAAAUUAUUAUGGACUUUGAAAUAGAUAUGAGUCAAUUUCAUAUCCGUUUGUGAGUCACCGAAAAUAUCGCAAAAAUGUGAAGGUCAACCAUAGUAUAACAUUCUCUUUGACUGCGAGGCGAUUUUUGCUGGAAAUUCUAAGAGACGUAGUGGUAUGAAUUUUAAAAAAAUAUCAGCUUAUCGAGAAUGACAAGGCGGAAUAUUUUUAAAUUUAAAGUUUAUUCAUAGGACGUUUAGUUUUAGAGAUAAAAUUUGAAAACUUAAAAGACUUUUUGCCUGAGAUCUCGUAAUGGUCUGAUCCUGUUGCAGUUGUCUUAAUGAAAAAAAAGUAACAGUCAAACAAACGAAUUAAAAAAAAAUAUCACUUUACAGAGAAUGACAAAAUGCAACCUUUUUAUAUUUACAGUUUGUUCAUAUGACGUUUAGUUUCAGAGAUAAAAAUUGAAUCUUACAAGAACUUUUCCUUGAAAUUCAAUUUUUGCAACGGACUUCUAACAUUCCAAUUUUUAUUUUAGAAACUAAGCGUUCUAUGAAUAAACUGUAAAUAUAAAAAAAGUUUCAUCUCAUCAUCUCCUAUAAGCUGAUGUUUUCUAAAAAUUGAUUUAAUAAGUAUAAACAUUUUUCUGACCCAAUAUCUCGAGGACGAAUAUAUACGCCCUUCCCAGUCAAAGGGUUAAUAAAUAUAACGAAUAUUGAAAGAAUACUCGGAUCGACUGAUCAAUUAUUAACUUUUCUACAAGCAAUAGUUCCUCUAAUAUGUCUAAGUUGUCGUCUCGCGAAUUCGCUUAACAGCAUUAAUUAUUUAUUUGCGUUACAAAUUAACACAGAAGCAUGGAUUUUAUUCGGAUAUUUAGAUGGCUGGAAUUUGUCGCAUAAUUUUAUUAUCGUCACGAUGCAGGAUUGGAGUAAAAUGCUAGCAUCGUUCAAUUAACGUGGAUUAUUGCAACUUAAUGAUCAUUGACGCGAGAAAUAUACACAGAAUGGACGUCGAAUUUUCGCGCGAUUAAUAAUUUUGUAGUGAAGUACGAUGCAUGCUCUUUACAUACAUAAUUUCCGUAAAAUGUAAAAGAUACAUUGAUUCGUUAAUAUUAACGUUGUACACAAUAUUCUGUAAAUUCCGAAAAUUUCUCACAAACGAUAUAUUUUCGCAGACAAAAUAAUUUUCUAGCAUUUCAAAAUUUAGACUUGGCAUAGCCUAGGCGGGUCGUUAAUCGGAUGAAAAACUUUUGGCAUCGUUCCCUCGUAAAUCAAUGACGCUAAUGCCUGGAUUACCGUGGACUAGACUUGUUGGGUGUUAAUGCAACGGUUGUUGCGAUAUAUGCAAUAGAAGUCCAGUGAACCGCUCAAGAGAACUUAGCUUGUAUUGUCUCGAUUUACGUGAAUAUUCAGACAGUUGACGAAAAGAGUUCAGAACUUUCAACGCAGGCAAUACUCGUCAAAUGAGGCAAAAAUGUCCUGAUAAACAUGAAUUGAAAAAUUACUAUAUGUAGAAUUUUAAACAAUUAUCUGAGUUCUAUCCGCCCUGAAAAUUCUGAACUUCAUUGUUUAACAAUCUGUGCACACAAGUACACAUUCUUUCAGGUACAUUUUCGUCUGAAAUUCAUACGUCAUUACUUGGACGCGUACAGGUGAAGAUUUUGGAAGAUAUUUAUGUACAUCAGGGCAUACUUACAUGCUUUUUUAUUACGAAGUUCAAUCUAAAUUCAUCGCAACGACGAAACCCAAUUUUGUGCUGCGUCUCGCAAUGUGAAAUAAAAGUGCUUCGUACUUUAUUCGAGUGGCAUGCCUUUUUUCGCUGAAUGCCAACCACUCGCAUGCAGAAUUUUCGCUAAGAAUACAAAACGAGGGGAAUACUGAAUGCCUAAUCAAUUCGUCCAGAUUCUCCUUCGCCGGAACUUGCGUUUCGUUUCUUUACAUUCGCCGAUGUAGGGCUUGAGAUUUAUAAUAUCGGCUCUUUUUUUCUUAGAAUUUUCAUUUGCCACGUAUCUUACGUAUUCGAACAAUUUUAAUGUUACAAUUACCAAUUGUAAUUCGCUCGAAUGUACACCUUCGUUAAUAUAAUUUGUUAUUCAAAGUAGUGGCUUCCAAGUGUCUAUGACAUUUGCGUAAAUAAAGACAAAAAGGAUGAGCUCGUUAAUAAAUUUGUGUAGUAUUAGUCAUUCUGUAGACUCUGGUAAAUUAUUUGUAACUGUUUGUUUGUUGAAUUUAAUUACGAGUUUUUAUCAACUGUGGAAAGAAAGAAGCAUUUGUAAUCAGCGGUCACUGAUAGGUUUAAUUGUAAACAGAUGCAGUGAUAAAUAUAUAGAUUAAAUGUAAAGAAAACAAGAAUAAUUGCAAUGAAUAAUGAAAAAUUCUAAUUCAUAAAUUACAAGUACGAACGAUAGUAGAAAAUCAGUGGUGCAGAGUGUUAGUCAACAAAUCUAGUGGCGGUUUUACUAAAUAAACCGCGGUCGACGGGACCGUAAUUAUUAAUUACGUGUAGAGGAAGUGUUGCAGCGUUCUAGUAGGUGAAUAAUAGAAAACUUGUACGUUCCAGUUGCUUGGCGGAAAACCUUUUAUUAAUGAAGCGAUUAAGGUUGGCUUGAACGUUUCAAUCCUCUUUAAUACACUUAUUGAAGGCCAUAGGACGAUAACCAUAGUGAAUCGGACCCAGACAGAUAUCUGGAUCAUUUUUUGCGAGUAUGUUGAUACUACUGAGAUACGUUGAUCCUGCGAGUUUCACACCUGUACCUGUACCACUGUGUAAAAGUGGUUAUCGAGUACUAAUGCCAGCAUUAAAAGGUAUGCGAAAUCGGUUAACAAUUGCUGAAUCUAACACUUCGAGAUAUAUCACUAAAAUUCGAUGGACAGGAGAAGCAACACAUGGAAUGCUGAAACUAAACUAUCAACAAUUUUACUACUAUUGAAAUAAGUAAAGCGACGAUAUAGUGAUACAGUGAUCUUAAAUACUCAAGCAACGCUUUUCUUUCUACUUGAUUUACAAAUUUGUGAGAUUUUAAAUUGUAAACGCAUUUUUAUCAAAAUAAAGCAUAGCCUAUGUUACUUAGAGAUAGUGAAGCUUUUUAUUACUUAUGAAAUUUUUUAAAAUCGGUUCAGUAGUCCCGCGGAUUACGUCCUACAUACAAACAAACAAACAAACAAACUUUACCUCUUUAUAAUAUUAGUAUAGAUUUCAAAUAAUUGAAUAAUACUAUGUGAUUAUACGACAAUAAAGGACUAAAAUAUUAUUUCA